AGGGUUUGAUCCUGGGCUCAGGACGAACGCUGGCGGCGUGCCUAAUGCAUGCAAGUCGAGCGACGCACCGGCCGCGCGUAAGCACAGCCGGUGACGGAGCGGCGAACGGGUGAGUAACACGUGAGGAACCUGCCCCGAAGACCGGGAUAGCCCGGGGAAACCCGGAUUAAUACCGGAUGCCCUCACCGGGCCGCAUGGUCUGGUGAGGAAAGGCCCCGACGCUUCGGGAUGGCCUCGCGGCCUAUCAGCUUGUUGGUGCGGGUAACGGCCCACCAAGGCUAUGACGGGUAGCUGGUCUGAGAGGACGGCCAGUCACACUGGGACUGAGACACGGCCCAGACUCCUACGGGAGGCAGCAGCAGGGAAUAUUGCACAAUGGGCGAAAGCCUGAUGCAGCGACGCCGCGUGAGGGAUGAAGGCCUUCGGGUUGUAAACCUCUUUCAGGAGGGACGAAAUUGACGGUACCUUCAGAAGUAGGCCCGGCCAACUACGUGCCAGCAGCCGCGGUAAUACGUAGGGGCCAAGCGUUGUCCGGAAUCAUUGGGCGUAAAGAGCUCGUAGGCGGCUCAGCAAGUCGGCCGUGAAAACCCGGAGCUCAACUCCGGGACGCCGGUCGAUACUGCUGUGGCUAGGGUCCGGUAGAGGAGAGUGGAAUUCCCGGUGUAGCGGUGAAAUGCGCAGAUAUCGGGAGGAACACCAGCAGCGAAGGCGGCUCUCUGGGCCGGUACCGACGCUGAGGANCGAAAGCGUGGGGAGCAAACAGGAUUAGAUACCCUGG
rnacentral:rRNA from 1 species